GAGGAACCCAACACCCGCCUGGACAGGGCCUCACCCCCAAAGCUGCAUCUUCUAGCCCCCUCACCCCAAAGCCACACCUUCCAGCCCUGCUCGUGCUGGCACCCAUCCACUGCCUCACCCACCUGAGAGAUCUCAUCUUUACACACAUGCACACUCAACACACAGGUGCACACACACAGGUGCACACACACUCAGACACAGGUG
rnacentral:lncRNA from 10 species